rnacentral:rRNA from 1 species
GUCUACGGCCAUACCACCCUGAACGCGCCCGAUCUCGUCUGAUCUCGGAAGCUAAGCAGGGUCGGGCCUGGUUAGUACUUGGAUGGGAGGAACCAAUGAGAAUCAUGGAGCGAGCAGGUG